UGGAAACAGGAAAAACAGAAAUGCAGGGGAAGACUGGAAUGUUUGAAAGGCAAGAAAACCCAAAAGGGACACACAAAGGGAAACAGCGCCAAAUGGAACCCAAAAGACUCCAACUCCCAGGAUGAACCACUGUCGAAUUCCGAGUCUGGGGUCUGCGACCCGCCGCUCAUUGGACAGAUGCGCCGGAACCCACGCAAGUUCCGGUAACCACGCCGGCUGAAGCCAGUCAACUCGCUGGCCCUUCGCUGCCCACCAAAGUCUGCUCAGCCGCUGAUAUUUCCACUGCACGCCGAGGCAGCCCUCCACUCGCCACAGAGUGGAACACGACCGUCACCAGAGCUGGGAAGCCGGACGGAUCGGCAAUACACCGGUCGCUACCACGCAACCCACGCAACCCACGUAAGAGGCAAACGUAUCUGGGCAGAGAUAGUUUAGCUGAUCGAGUAAACUUAUUGUUAAUGUUGGCUGUUUGUGAAGCUUGUGAACCUCAGAGUCCUUAUCUUAGUUGCUGCCGAUCACCUGAAAGAUGUGAAUCCGUUUUUAAUGCUGCAGAAUACUGUGAUGCUAAUUUUUGAUAGCACAUGUCUUAUCUGUAUUGUAUUUAUCUGCUAGAACAUCGACACGCAUGCCCGGUGAUAAAAUUACAAUAUCCUAAUCUCACUCUGGUGCUUUGUACCACGUGAAGACCUGACCUGCGUUGUCCCUUUCUGGAUUGCUAGUUAGCUUUGCUACCGUGUGUUAGCACAGUGGGCUGUUUACAACAGGUGACCAAGACUACAGCUCACGCUGUGGUGAGUGUUUAAACACGCCACUGUCUCUCUCAGAGGAACCUAUUUUCUUUCUCUUUCUCCUCCUACUAACCACCAAUACACACAACCAUGUGCUGUCACACUGUAAGCUAGCUGUAGUUAACGCUAUGCCACAAUGCUACAUGCUCCAUCAACCACGUGGCCUACCAUGCGGGGCCCCUGUGCACACAGGCACGCGCCCACACACACGUUUGCACACACACAACCACGUGCACACACAUGCAAGCGCACACAUAUUUGUAGCCUAGCAUUAGCUAGUAUCAGGUUGGAUUAGCGGUCGCUAACAUCACCUAGUCUAUGCUAUCUAGUGCACACACACACACACACUUACGUCAAUUUAUGCUUGUGUACAGAUUAUGUUUGUAGUUGUAGCUUCUCUUGUUUAUCAGUUUAGAACUGAGAUUGAUGACAGAUGUUUGUUUUAUGUAAGUACUAUUGAUUGCGAAUUAGUAGUGCUGAGGUUUA